UCACAAUCCACAGAGGGGGAGGCUAUGGCUCCGCUCCCUUGCCUGGGUGUGGGCAGACCAGGCUCCAGGGCCUGAAAAACUCCUCAUUUGAGCACUUGAAUCAGGCAGACCUGCACUCCUCUAAGUUCCCUGGUCAGACUGUGCUACCGUCUUGGUUCUGCAGAUAAGCAAAGCCGCUGCUUGGGACUACUACUUGGGCACUGCAGAAAGUUCAGGUGCGAAUAAGAUGCUUUGGUCCUGAUACCAGACACCCGAGUGCUGAGGACGGUGUGCAGUGAAGGCUGUUCACAGAUCUCCUGCGUCCGACUUGACAGAGUUGGCGGGCGUGUGCCUGGACGGUACUGCUACCAGCGGCCACUGACACUAGCAAUGUCUGAGUGAUACUGACGGGGUAGCCUCCCACUUGCUCCGCCUUCCAGGAAAGAGGAAGAAUGUGUAGGGAAAAGGACCCAGGACCAAGCCCUGAUGCGCUGAGCCCUGGAACACUCCACCAAUUGAAGGUGUUCACGACUGUUGGACCUCGAGAGGGACAUUGAUGAACCCUGAAAACAAUCAAAGCCAGAUAAGGAAAUGUUUAAUAAGCCUACAGUGUUCUGGUUGAACACUGUGAUUCUUGGAUUAAUCAUUUUCAUCCACGUUUGAGUUUGCACAGCCUCACCAGUAGUGUGUGUUUACGUGCUCUAACUCCACCCCUCUCACAAAAGGCUUACAGCCAAAAUCUGACACUCUCCAACUGAAAAGGCCUUGCCGAGUGAGUCGUACAGCCUAGCUGAGAAGCAAGGAACCCUGGAUCUCUUCUCCACGUGGUGAGGAUACCAGCUUCCCAGUCUCACUCUGAGCUACAGCCAACAUCGAGGAAGCACAACCUUUUGGAGCUCUCGUUUGUGAUACUUCCUGCUGUGUUCCUGGCACAUCUGAACACACUGAAUUUUUAACUCAUAUCUGAGAACUUGUUUUUGUUGUUGGAUACUUGCCUUUUCCUCCUAUGGUGGGCUUGCGAGUGAUACCCUUGGAUAAAGGGAUUCUUUAUACAUUUUUUUAUGGAAUGUUACAUCUGUCCUUUGCUUAAUCUCAGCCCUGCUCUAUCACUUAUGAUACUCUCCCCCUAACAAAAACAAGUUUAUCCAAAUUUACACCUCCUUCACAGCUGAUCAACCACUGUGAGAGAAGACGCAUAAAAGAUCAUAAUAUAUUGGAUUGUAUCAAUUUCACAGCAAUACAUUUACAGGAAUAGAAAUGAAAACAAAUCACCAUUAAUAGAUUGUCCUUAUAUAAAUAGAGAAUGGGAGAGGAGAGAAGAUUGUUCUCUUCUGCUGAGAGAACAGACAGGAAGAAUAGGCAGGGCAUGACUCUACAAACCUCAAAAGUGGUUGUCAUUGUGGGCUUAUAGGACACAUGGUUGGCCCUUCUCAGCUCCUUGAUAGUUUCAGCGGGCAUGGAUUUAGAAAACCCGAGGCCACUCCAGGUAUUUGUGGGUGUUCUGACCUCCGUCACCACCGGUUUCUUUAACAUAGCUUUGGAAAACAGAACAUAAAACAAAUGCUUGGUAUUUUUAAUGAAUUUCUUAAAUAAGAUAUUGAUAAGUAUUGUUUCUUUGAUAUAUGUAAAGAAAUUAUCACUGAAUAUUAUUUCUUAACACAAAAUGCCUUAAAAUAUCCUCAUAAAACAUUUUAUACAAAGUAGUGGUAAACUUUAAAAUGAUACAUUAUUUCUUAAUUGGUCUACUGCUAAUCUACUCAACCUCAACAAAGUUUGUGCAACUUGAACGUAAACAUUCUGGGAUUCCUUUUAUGAAGGUCCAAUUUCUCAGUUCAACAUCAACACUGAAAAACCUUUUAUGUGUUUACUGAAAAAAAAAUCAAAGUAUAAAAAAAAUCAAAAUCAUUAACGUGUCACAUACCUUUGGUUGCUAAUAACUUUUUCUGUUCAUAGUCAAAUGCCUGGGAAAAAAAAACCAGAAAAUAUCUUUAUUGUCAGUCUAUCCAAAUGUUAUGCCAAUACUUCAUGAAAAGAUUUUGACUACAGCCCAUGAAUCUGCCUGGGGCAAACGCUCAGCUCUGCACCAGAAUGUGACAGUAAUCCAUGCAAGUCUGAUAAACUGAAACAUGUUUUCAAAACUAAUUCAUUGGGCUUCCCUGGUGGCACACUGGUUGAGAGGCCGCCUACCGAUACAGGGGACGCGGGUUCGUGCCCCGGUCCGGGAAGAUCCCACAUGCCGCGGAGCAGCUGGGCCCGUGAGCCAUGGCCGCUGAGCCUGCGAGCCUGGAGCCUGUGCUCUGCAACAGGAGAGGCCACAACAGUGAGAGGCCCGUGUACCGCAAAAAAAAAAAAAAAAAAAAAAAAAAAUACUAAUUCAUUAUAAUAAUAAAGUACUACUUCCAACUUUAAGUCAUGACAGUGACAAAAGUUAGAAAUUUUCCUUCAAAAAGAAAAAAAUUCCUAUUUACUAUGAAAUAUAUAACACACCAGGACCAAUAUAUGCUAACGUAUAGUGAAUAACCUAAUAACAGUUAUGCUAGGUUUCAAAAUAAUGCAUUAUCAGAAUGCUUAAGCAGUACAGUAAAAUUAAACCUAAAUAAAAAUAUAAACCUAAAUUUAAAAAAUAAAACUUAGUUAUCUUUUAUUGCACAGGACUAGGAUGGCACCAUUUAUUCUUCCCAUUCACAUUGAAUAAGUGACUAUGACACAGUCGGGUCUACAUAGGGACCAAGGUAGGUCAUUUUGAAGAAGGAAGUCCAGAUAUAGCUACAUCUCAAAUGCUAACCCAGGGUUCUCAACUCGCCAAUUCAGGAACUGGCUUAGACUUGAUUUAAGAAUGUCUCUUGUAAUAAACUGUAACGGAAAAGAAUUUUUUAAAAAGUAUAUAUAUACAUAUAUGUAUAACCAAAAUCACUUUGCUGUACAACUGAAACUAACACAAUAUUGUAAAUCAACUAUACUUCAAUAAGUUAAAAAAAAAAAAAAAAGAAUGUCUCAAAGGCCUAUCAGAUGUGUCAAGAACCCACUGGCAAGAGCUCUUUGGACCUUCCCCCCAGGAGGACUAUACCAUCAUAUGUAGGGUGUCCAUAUAAUUUAUGGUCUGAAACAGGAUACUUCUGAAAGUGAAAUAUACUACAAAUGAUUAGGCCAAAAUAAUAAAAGUAAACAGGCUGACCUAGACCAACCAGAAGGAACAUGGCAGUAAAUUGGGAGAGUCAGAUUUUUAGAUAACACAGUUUGGUAAUGUUUUUGAAAUCCUAGGUCUAAAAUGAUUCUGGGAGUUAAAAUCGACUUGUAAUGACUUCUAAGGGCAAGAUGUGGGGAGAUGCUAAAGUUACUUGUUCAGUAAAUAUUCAGUGCCUUCUGGCUAAAGGGACUGUGCUGCACUUUGUGUAAGAAUAUUACAAUGAAUCAAAAAUAAUCUAUAGCCUCAAAUCAUAUAGAGGCUUAGCAGGGGUAAGAAAAAUAACCACAAAAUAAAUUAGAAAGUGAGAUAAGUGUGAAGAGAGAGCUGGAGAUAUAGAAGUCCAAGAAUGAUCAGGAGACAGAGAUCAUCUUCAGCUAUAAAGCAAUCAGGGAAGUCUUCAAACUAUUAUCAUUGAUUUCCUGGUGAUUUUAAGAGUCACUUCUUCACUAAUGGCGUAAAUACAUCUAUUUAAAUUGAAACUCUAUCACCAAGAACAUUUACAUCCAUCCUAAAAGAAGGGAACAUGAAAGUGGUUCACUAUAGGUAUAUACCCGAUGGAAAAGACGAGAAUCACAAGAUGGAUAAAAACCAUAAAGGGAUCAUAAAGGAAUUUGAUACUUCUUAGAUGAGAGAACUUUAAUUUAUAAUAACUGAAAAUAAAUCCGCCAGAGAAAAUGUAAUAAAUGUCUUUUUUUCUAACUUUGCACUUUAUAAAGGCUAUGGCUUUUGUAAAAAACAUUCAUCUAAAAACUCUUGAAAAUGUUCAAAUGCAAAGGAUUAGAAAAACAGACAAGCAGGAUUGUACUGCAGUUUUCACUGGAAUUACAGAAGUAUGAUUUAGUCCCAUGAAUUAAUUUCUUUGACAUAUCUGUGACAACUUCUUUAUUUCUAGGAUUUUGUGAAGUUUUUCCCUUUUUCGAAAGUGGGGGGAAGGGAGAUGAUAAAUCUCUUACUACAAAGUAGGUAAGUCUACCCAGUAAUUCAGACACUGAAAUCAAAUGUUUAGAGGCAUCUCUAAAAGCACAAAAUCCUUAUCUUUCAUAUUGUGAUCUAUAUGAAAAUCAGAUUUCUGAAUUUCAUGAUCAAUAGUCUAUUUUGAGUAAUUAGCCUAAUACUUUGAAAAAGGAUACAGAGAAAAUCCCUGCUGAGGAAAUUGUUCAAAAUAAUCAUAAAAAUCUGUGAACCAACAUAACCAUCAAUAUUUAGCAUCUCCUUUCAAAACACUAAAGCUUUACAUUAGUUAUUUUUAUAACUAAGGAACACCAAAUUUAUCUUCUCCAUUUCACAGAUAGAAGAAUAUUAUAUCUAUUUAUCCAAGAGUAUGUCAUGAGAUAGUAAAUGCUUAGAAAUAACAGCUCUCAUAUUUAUCUACAUUUUUUUUAAACAGAUGAAAAAUGUCAUUUGCAUAAGACACAGUGACAUAGACCAUGUCACUUUUAAUAUUAUAUUUUAAAGACUUCUCAAACUAAAUCCUGCAUUUCAUUUUUUUUUUUUUUUUUUUUGCAGUACACGGGCCUCUCACUGUUGUGGCCUCUCCCAUUGCAGAGCACAGGCUCCGGACGCGCAGGCUCAGCGGCCAUGGCUCACGGGCCCAGCCACUCCGCGGCAUGUGGGAUCUUCCCGCACCAGGGCACGAACCCGUGUCUCCUGCAUUGGCAGGCGGACUCUCAACCACUGCGCCACCAGGGAAGCCCUGCAUUUCAUUUUUAAUGUUUAUAACGAAACCAAUUCCUAACUACUGCAUAUAUAUUUAAAUUUAAUUUCUGGUCUACUGCUAAAAGCUCACUGAAUUCCCCAUUCCCCAACCUAGGCAGCCUACAUUUGGAUGACUUGUCCAUUUUUUUUUUUUUUAUCAUUACCUGCAUGUUGACAUAUGAUGGCCGUGGGGCAAGGCGGGCCCUUUCAUUGUUCUGCUGGGCAGCGGCAGCCCUCUCUGCAGCACGCUCACUCCCUGGAGCCUUCUUGUCAGCCAAAGGGCUUUCUGCAGUACUCAGCUCAGGCUCUGAGAGCAACCUGUCAGUGCUGCUGCGAAAGAGAGUUUGGAAUUGAACACUCCACCAUUACAUACAAAUGUAGCACACAUUUCCUAGGUGCCACAUUGACUAUGUAGGUUUACCACUGUCAACCAUUUACACGUAUUAUCUCAUUUAAUCCUCACGGUACUGCUAUGAGGAAGGCAGUCUUAUUAUCCCUAUUUUUCAGAUGAGGGGAGUACCUUGUCCAAGGUCAUACCUCUGGUAAAUGGUAGAGCUGGGAUUUGAACCCAGACUUUGACUCUAGAGAUGGUGCCGAAACUAUUUCAUGAUCUAUAUUCACACACAUUAAAUAUAGCAUGUAUGAUACACUGUAUGCAGUACAUAUGAAAUAGACAUACAGACAAGAUUUCUAAUUUACAUACAUCAAGGAGAUAUCCCUGACCCACGUUUACACAGUCUAAACAAACUGAGUCAGUUGGAAGGCAUGCAGAUGAUCCAGUUCUUUUGUGUGCAAUAUACAUGAUAUUGCUAACAAAUCUGCUAUGAUAUAGGCAGCAGGUAAAUAUUCUUUAACAUCUGUUCAGGGUGCAGGGAAAGAACACGAAAGUGCUUCUUAAAAUGGGGGGCAAUUAUCUGAAUUGUAAGAAUUUAUAAUGCCCUAUACACGCACCUCAAGUUCACAUCCAACGGCAUGUUAGGCUCAAGUAAAACAGACAUAACAAACAGUAUUAGUCAAAGAGCUGAUUUGCUCACACAUUCUUCCUUUUAUCAUUCACUCUUCAGUUGUACCAGGGGAAUUCAGAGGUAUUUAGAAAGGACUAUUAGAAUACAAAAGGAGCAGCAAAGAACUUUGUUUGACAAAAGUUCAGAGAGGCUUCACACAGGCAAUUGACCUGGAAUUUAAAGGGCAUCUGCAGGUUCGCCAUUGUGUAACAGCAACUCAGAGGGAACAGCAUAAGCAAAGGAAAGCAAGUGUGCAGUCACUGGUGGUUUCAAAGCCAGAGUGUGACAAAAAUUACUGGAACAAAAUAAAGGAUUGAUAGAGCUGAUAAGAGACUGGAGACAGGGAGACCAUUCCGGAGGUUGCCGCUUAAUUCAGAUGGAGAUAAUCAGUUCACACUUACACACUCAAUGAACACAUUUAGUGAUGAAAGGAACAGGUAUAUACUUCAAAUGCAUCAACACAGAGGGAAAACAAAAUCAUUUCUCUAACCUAUAAUAAAUAAUGUUAAUUUGGUGUAUUAGUAUCAUGUUAAGAAAAACACAAGUAAAGCAGAUUUGGACAAAAUGGGAACAAUGGUAGUUAAUCAAAGAGUUUAUAAAAGUAAAACAGAUUUUGCUUUUUAUAAAAGCAAAACAGGUUUUGCUGAAAAAAAGAGGAAAUAAGAAUAUAUAUUAACACAACACUGGAAAUCAACUAUACUUCAAUAAAAUCAAUUUUUUAGUUAAAAAAAUAUAUAUAUGUUAUAUUUGCCUAAACACACUCUAUUCUGUAACGAUAUAAAAGACAGUAGAGGAAAUUGGGUAGAUGAAGUGGAUGGGAACAAAACCUUUCGAUGUAGAAGCAUUCCACUGUUUUGCGUUUUUAAAAUGUGAAUAGACUGCCUAUUUGAAAAAAAUAAAAUAAAUGGAAGAAGUAAGGAUAACACAUUUGUUAUCCCUAAUGGUGCUAUGGUAAGGGAGAAUUAUAUUUAAUAUAACAUAUGCAUUUAUACUCACUGUGAUUUGUAAUAAGUAAAAUCAUGAUACUCCCAAGUAUUUAUUACCAAAGUGAACAAUUCACUACCUUGGAACAAGGGAGCCAUAGUUUAAGCUGGAAAUUCAAAGCCAAAUGAAGGAGAAUUCACACUAAGAAAAUUUCUUACAGCAAAAAUCGGAGAGUUAACAUUGCCCUGCUGAUUACUGAAGAGCAGAGAGAAUGCUAAAGUUUCAGAGCAAAAGAGAUGGUUUAGGGAAUCCAGAAAUAAACCCAACCAGCUAAAGGAAGGGGGGAGAUGACAGAGAAGAUUUAAGGGCACUAAAAAGGAGACAGCAGGCCUAAAAUGGAGUCACUUGUGCUAAACCCCACAUCAACAAACCAAGACUUGAUACCUAACCUAACUGCAGUUUCAGCCUCUCCUAGGAAUGUAAUCUUAACCAGUCCUGUCUGGAAUUUCCUGGCCAACACUAGUGAGGUAACCCACCAGACAGACCGCUGCCUUCUCCCAAAGGAAGGUAACCUUGCCUGAAAUAAUCCUUUCUUUUCUUUAUGACUUCCUUGUCCCUCCUUCUUUCUCCUUUUAAAACGUUUUCUUUUCUGCAGCAUUUUGGAGCUCCUUUCUAUUGGUAGAUGGGAUUCUGCCGAUUCAUGAAUUGUUGAAUAAAGUAAAUUUUAUCUUUAAA